CUGGAGGAUUUUAUACCUCAUUUGAUGAGACAGUUCGUGGAUGUGAAGCCACUGGGAACAAAGAGGAGUUAAGAAGGAUCACAACAAUUCCUCUCCAGCAAACCAUUUGGUCAACAUUGGACACUGGUUUUUCAGACAAAGGACAGGGUGGCUUGCAUGAAAAUAAGUUCUAUGCUGGACUCACUCAGGCAGCAACAUAUCAAAGGUAGAAGAGACGUCAUCAUCCGCUGCUUAAUGGAGUAACUUGGAGAGUCUGGAGAGGAACUCAUCAAGGACUACCAGCAAGGAAGCCAAAGAGGACUUCUCUCAUCAUGAC